AGAGUUUGAUCCUGGCUCAGGAUGAACGCUAGCGGCAGGCCUAAUACAUGCAAGUCAAGGGGAUAGCAAUAUCACCGGCGGACGGGUGCGUAACGCGUACACAACGUGCCCAAGGGCGGAGGAAAGCGGCGGGAAACUGCCGGUAAUACUCCAUGGUGUUGUUGAAUGGCAUCAUUUAACAACUAAAGUACAAGCGCCCUUGGAUCGGUGUGCGUUCGAUUAGCUAGUUGGCGGGGUAACGGCCCACCAAGGCUACGAUCGAUAGGGGGUGUGAGAGCACGGCCCCCCACACGGGUACUGAGACACGGACCCGACUCCUACGGGAGGCAGCAGUAAGGAAUAUUGGACAAUGGGCGAAAGCCUGAUCCAGCCAUGCCGCGUGAGCGAUGAAGGCCUUCGGGUCGUAAAGCUCUUUUCUGGGAGAUGAGAAAGGACAGUAUCCCAGGAAUAAGUCUCGGCUAACUACGUGCCAGCAGCCGCGGUAAAACGUAGGAGGCAAGCGUUAUCCGGAUUCACUGGGCGUAAAGCGCGUGCAGGCGGUUUGGUAAGUUGGGCGUGAAAUCUCCCGGCUCAACUGGGAGGGGUCGUUCAAUACUACCAGACUCGAGAGCGAUAGAGGAAAAUGGAAUUCCCGGUGUAGUGGUGAAAUGCGUAGAUAUCGGGAGGAACACCAGUGGCGAAAGCGAUUUUCUGGAUCGUUUCUGACGCUCAGACGCGAAAGCUAGGGUAGCAAACGGGAUUAGAUACCCUGGUAGUCC
rnacentral:rRNA from 1 species